rnacentral:rRNA from 1 species
GACGAACGCUGGCGGCGUGCCUAACACAUGCAAGUCGAGCGGGAACCUCAGGAGGGGUAACCCUUCUGAGGGGAGAGCGGCGAACGGGUGAGUAACACGUGGGCAACCUGCCCCGGACACCGGGAUAACCCAGGGAAACCUGAGCUAAUACCGGAUACUCCGGCGCGAUCGCAUGGUCGUGCCGGGAAAGCUCCGACGGUCCGGGAUGGGCCCGCGGCCUAUCAGCUUGUUGGUGGGGUAACGGCCCACCAAGGCGACGACGGGUAGCUGGUCUGAGAGGACGGCCAGCCACACUGGGACUGAGACACGGCCCAGACUCCUACGGGAGGCAGCAGUGGGGGAUCUUGCGCUAAUGCGCGAAAGCGUGACGCAGCGACGCCGCGUGGGGAUGAAGGCCUUC